rnacentral:rRNA from 1 species
GACGAACGCUGGCGGCGUGCUUAACACAUGCAAGUCGAACGCAGUGGCGAACGGGUGAGUAACGCGUAAUAACCCUGCCCUUCAGAGGGGGACAACAGUUGGAAACGACUGCUAAUACCGCAUAAGGAAGGAGGUGAUUGCGUCGGAUUAGCGAGUGGGAGGGGUAACGGCCCACCAAGGCGAUGAUAAGUAGCCGGUCUGAGAGGAUGAACGGCCACAUUGGGACGGAGACACGGCCCAGACUCCUACGGGAGGCAGCAGUGGGGAAUCUUCCGCAAUGGACGAAAGUCUGACGGAGCAACGCCGCGUGAGUGAUGACGGCCUUCGGGUUGUAAAGCUCUGUUAAUCGGGACGCGGUACCGGAAUAGAAAGCCACGGCUAACUACGUGCCAGCAGCCGCGGUAAUUC